UACGAAGGGUGCAAGCGUUACUCGGAAUCACUGGGCGUAAAGCGUGCGCAGGCGGUUCGCCAAGUCUGAUGUGAAAGCCCCGGGCUCAACCUGGGAACUGCAUUGGAAACUAACGGGCUCGAGUGUGGCAGAGGGGGGUGGAAUUCCACGUGUAGCAGUGAAAUGCGUAGAGAUGUGGAGGAACACCGAUGGCGUAGGCAGCCCCCUGGGCUAACACUGACGCUCAGGCACGAAAGCGUGGGGAGCAAACAGG
rnacentral:rRNA from 1 species